GAAAUGAUUAAAUUUUUGCGGUCCCUCUUUCAGUAUAAAUAUGAAGUAUCUCCUUCGGGGCAUAUCAAAUUUCUAAAAAAUGACUUUAAGACGCAGUUUGAUUUUGGUUGCUGCUUUACUCUGUUUUGGAGUAUUUUUGGGCUUCUGCAUUCAAGAAUCAGAGGCGUAUUAUCCGUCGUCCGGGUCUCGUCCAAUGUGCUGUGUAUGCUUCAGAGCACCAUGCCCCUGCAUGUUUCCACCGGGCCACCCAAUCUGUAGAUUUCUAAGAGGCUGAUGUACAUGUAUGGUUACAUAUACCUCAUGUAAGCAACUGCGGUAAAUCAGAGGAAAUUUCAGAUAAAGUCAAUGUAUAUUUUAAACGAAUAAAUUGUUUAAAAGAGAAA